rnacentral:rRNA from 1 species
CUACGGGCUGCAGCAGUGAGGAAUUUUGCGCAAUGGGGGAAACCCUGACGCAGCAACGCCGCGUGAGUGAAGAAGGCCUUUGGGUCGUAAAGCUCUGUCAACUGGGAAGAAAUUAACAUCAAUUAAUAGUUGUCGUUAUUGAAGGUACCAGUGGAGGAAGCGCCGGCUAACUCCGUGCCAGCAGCCGCGGUAACACGGGGGGCGCAAGCGUUAUUCGGAAUUAUUGGGCGUAAAGGGCGCGCAGGCGGUUUUGUCGGUCAGGUGUGAAAGCCCGGGGCUCAACCCUGGAAGUGCACUUGAAACAGCAAGACUUGAGUACGGGAGAGGAAAGCGGAAUUCCUGGUGUAGAGGUGAAAUUCGUAGAUAUCAGGAGGAACACCGAUGGCGAAGGCAGCUUUCUGGACCGAUACUGACGCUGAGGCGCGAAGGCGUGGGUAGCGAACGGGAUUAGAUACCCCAGUAGUC